AUAAGAGCCCUAGAGAUUUGAAGGCGCGCCAAUUGGUUCCACCCUCUCCUCCGUAAAGUGGCAGCUCAAGGUGGUGACGCGUAACCUUUCUUUUCUUUCUUAAAAUCCCACCACCGUCUCAACCCCUUCCUCCACCGUCAAAAAACUCAAACACAGCUUCUGUGCCUCUCUCUCUCUUUUCUCUCUAAAACUAUGCCCCAAGAUCUUCCUGGGUUUUAUUAUGAUGCGGAGAAGAAUAGGUACUUCCCCAACAAGGGCCCAGUACCGGGUUCUCGUAGUACUGCUGCUUCUUCUAGUGCUCAGAAACUGAACCAGGUGCAUUGGGUGUUCUGCAUUUGGGCCCAAGUUCAUGUUUUUUAGGAAGCCAACAAAUGUAAGCUAACAAAAGUAAGAACUUCUAAGCUGCUUCAGGCUAGGGAGUUAUAUGGUAAUGUCAUUGCUUCCAGUAAAGGGAGGUGCAACUUCAAGGAGGAAUUCCAAAAGGCACAAGCAUCCCA